UACGGAGGGAGCUAGCGUUGUUCGGAAUUACUGGGCGUAAAGCGCACGUAGGCGGCUUUUUAAGUCAGGGGUGAAAUCCCGGGGCUCAACCCCGGAACUGCCCUUGAAACUGGAGAGCUAGAAUCCUGGAGAGGCGAGUGGAAUUCCGAGUGUAGAGGUGAAAUUCGUAGAUAUUCGGAAGAACACCAGUGGCGAAGGCGACUCGCUGGACAAGUAUUGACGCUGAGGUGCGAAAGCGUGGGGAGCAAACAGG
rnacentral:rRNA from 1 species